rnacentral:rRNA from 1 species
UACGAAGGGGGCUAGCGUUGUUCGGAAUCACUGGGCAUAAAGCGCACGUAGGCGGAUUUUUAAGUCAGGGGUGAAAUCCCGAGGCUCAACCUCGGAACUGCCUUUGAUACUGGAGAUCUUGAGUCCGGAAGAGGUAAGUGGAACUGCGAGUGUAGAGGUGAAAUUCGUAGAUAUUCGCAAGAACACCAGUGGCGAAGGCGGCUUACUGGUCCGGAACUGACGCUGAGGUGCGAAAGCGUGGGGAGCAAACAGGG